AGUUGACAAAAACAAUGGAAUGCUGUUUUCUCCAUGAAGGUAUUAUACAAUCGCAGGUUCAAGCUGUGCUGCUGGACGCGCUGGCAGGCACUGAAGAAGGACAUGAGUCUGAGGCCGAUUCCUCUAUGUGAGCAUUCUGUGCCACCGUCACCUGAUCAAAGUACUGUGCAGCCACCUGUGGUGUUGUAAUAAAAGAGGAUAAUCCGACUAUCAACAAAAACUACUGCAUCAAAUGUUCUCGAAUGAAGCUUAAGAAACAAUAAAGAACUACUUAAGAUCAUUCAUGUUAGAUAAAAUGCCCAGUGGGAGCUAAGCAGUCUUUCACCCUUGGAACCCCUGCAAAUUUUUUUUUUCUACAGCAUCUCACCCUUGUCCUCAGUUGCCAUCUGACUAUAGCAUUGGACUUAUCUUUAGAGACUUAAAAAGGAAUCU